CCUACGGGAGGCAGCAGUGAGGAAUAUUGGUCAAUGGGCGGGAGCCUGAACCAGCCAAGUCGCGUGAGGGACGACGGCCCUAUGGAUUGUAAACUUCUUUUGUCGGGGAAUAAAGGCGCCCACGGGUGGGCGGAUGAGUGUACCCGAUGAAAAAGCAUCGGCUAACUCCGUGCCAGCAGCCGCGGUAAUACGGAGGAUGCGAGCGUUAUCCGGAUUUAUUGGGUUUAAAGGGUGCGUAGGCGGACCGGUAAGUCAGCGGUGAAAAUUGGGGGCUCAAACGCCGAACGGCCGUUGAAACUGGCAGUCUUGAGUGGACGAGAGGUAUGCGGAAUGCGUGGUGUAGCGGUGAAAUGCAUAGAUAUCACGCAGAACUCCGAUUGCGAAGGCAGCUUACCGGCGUCCAACUGACGCUGAGGCUCGAAAGCGUGGGUAUCGAACAGGAUUAGAUACCCCAGUAGUC
rnacentral:rRNA from 1 species